rnacentral:rRNA from 1 species
CCUACGGGGGGCAGCAGUCGAGAAUCAUUCACAAUGGGGGAAACCCUGAUGGUGCGACGCCGCGUGGGGGAAUGAAGGUCUUCGGAUUGUAAACCCCUGUCAUGUGGGAGCAAAUUAAAAAGAUAGUACCACAAGAGGAAGAGACGGCUAACUCUGUGACAGCAGCCGCGGUAAUACAGAGGUCGCAAGCGUUGUUCGGAAUCACUGGGCGUAAGGCGUGCGUAGGCGGUUUCUUAAGUCGUGUGUGAAAGGCGCGGGCUCAACCCGCGGGCGGCACAUGAUACUGGGAGACUAGAGUAAUGGAGGGGGGACCGGAAUUCUCGGUGUAGCAGUGAAAUGCGUAGAUAUCGGGAGGAACACUCGUGGCGAAGGCGGGUUCCUGGACAUUAACUGACGCUGAGGCACGAAGGCCAGGGGAGCGAAAGGGAUUAGAUACCCCUGUAGUC